UCCCAGCCAGCGCCACCUCCACUCGGGCCCCUUAAAUCUCCCACCCCAACAGCACUGUUCCUGGCGCGUAGUAGGCUUUUCUUGGGGGUGGGGUGCUGGGAUGUGUCUAUUGGCUCGCCCUCCUCGUCCGUGGGGGUCACUGCCCUAUAGUACACCGGGUUCCGGGCUGAGAGCCGAAAAAAAGACUGAAACCGACCAUCCCUGGCCAUAAUUACCAGCGUUCCUCCAGGAGCGCUGGUCUUGGAGGCCCUCACCUCCCACUUUUGGUUACCUGCUCCUAAGACAGGCCCCGUGAAGGCCCCUGUAAGGGCCUGGGGAAGGCUUUGACCUCGCUUUCCUUGAAUAGGACCUCCCAAGGGAGCGCCUUCCACAAUCACUUCACUCUGUAUGUCACCUGCACAGCUCCUGCUCCCUUAGGUGUCCAGGAUCCGGCUGGGCUCUGCCCACACUGCUGGCAAGGGUGUGUUAGGAUGAACACGGAGUACUCCGAGCCCCAGGGGCACCCUCCCCCCUUCCUUGAUCCUUGAUCUCAGAGGCUGACAGACAGAAGUGAAUUCAAAAUGUCAGUGCUGGCAACACCUUGGAAUUUGGAGGGUUGUAAGACGGUUGCUGAAAACGCCAGACAUGGAGUGCAGAGGUGAUGUGCCUGGAGGCUGCAGAAAGCCCAUCUCCCUGUCUAGAUCUGUGGAAGUGUUUCCAGAACCUGCUUCUAGGUCUGAGCAGCCAAAGUUCAGCCACACGCUCAUUCCUGUAACUCCCAGCCGGGGCAAUGAGGGCUCCUUGCCUGGCAGGCAUCAUGUACAUCUGGAAUCCCAGCAUUCAGGAGGCUGAGGCAAGAAGAUUGCUAGUUUAAGGCCAGCCUGGGCUACAUAGUGAGAGCCAGAGAGUGGGGAGCUAGCUCGGCAAGUAAACUGUUCCCUGUAUAAGCGUGAGGACGUGCAUUUGAUUCCCAGAAACCACAGAAAGAGCUGCUGUGGUUCUAUCACUGGAGAGAUGGGGCUGGCCAACCAGCCUGCCUGAAUCAGCGGCACAUCCCAACUAAAGACCCUGUCUCCAAAACCACGGUAGAUAGCGUCUGGGGGAGCAACACCUGAGGCUGACUUCUAGCCUCCCCGUGUGUGCACACUCACACAUAUAUGUUCAUCCACAUCCACACACGUACACACACAUAAUCAAACCAACCAAAAUGAAUGUUGUUAACUUAUGAAAGUCAGUCCACUGUCAGGCACCUUGCAGGUGUCUUUUUCUGAUCUCUAAUUUUUAUCUUGUAAUUUAUUUAUAAAGUUUUCCCUUCUAA